rnacentral:lncRNA from 1 species
UGAGGGUGAACUCAAGUGUUGGAAGUUUAAAGAGCUAAGGAUCCAAAUUUGUGGACAAGAUCAAAUUAUCUUCCUUACUAUUACAUAUUGGUAAUUCCACUGCAGGAGAAAAAACCUCCCACCAAAGGAAUAAAAGAAUUAAUGUAUAUUGUGUAUUCAAAGACUCUUUGUACGGAGAUACAUUAACAUACAUAAAUAAACCUCUCAAAUUAGCUUAAAAUAUUAACAAAUGUUACACUGAAGUUUAGAAACUCUGAAAGAAAGAGAGGAGGGAAACAUGAAAAGCAAAUUCAUGAUGCUAUUUCAUGUUUCCUUCCUAUUAUGUUUCAGGCUUUUCUUCCUCUUCUGUGGGUUCCUUAGGUGGUUCUGCAGGCUCUGAUGAUGGCUCUUGAUCAUCAGCAGGUUCAGGAGGUGGAGUGGCAUUCUUCUUGUUGGCAUUACAAGCCUCAAGCACAUGGCUGUAGGUCCCUUUCUCCAUGAAAAGCUGUUGGAAAUGGUGCUUGCAGUAGAGGACACCAUCCAAAGCAGCAUAGGAGGAAUGUGUGAGGUGGCAACCUGCACGAGCACAUCUAAAGCAAUUCUUGUGGUAGCAUUCUCCUUCUAAUGACAUCUAUUCAAAAUAAAGCAAAACAUGUAUUAGUUAGAUCAGUUCCUAGGAAUAGCAUGUUUAGAUCAACUAAUUUUUCCUCAAAAUCAACUACAACACACGCAGAAGUUAGAAGCUAC